GUUCGCAUUGGCAGCACAUGUACUAAAAUUGAACCGAUAAGGAGAAGAUUAGCAUGGUCCCUGUGCCAGGGCGACAUGCAAAGCUGUGAAGCGUCCUGUUUGUCA